rnacentral:rRNA from 1 species
AACGAACGCUGGCGGCAUGCCUAACACAUGCAAGUCGAACGAGACCUUCGGGUCUAGUGGCGCACGGGUGCGUAACGCGUGGGAACCUGCCCUUAGGUUCGGAAUAACUCCCCGAAAGGGGUGCUAAUACCGGAUAAUGUCUUCUGACCAAAGAUUUAUCGCCUUUGGAUGGGCCCGCGUUGGAUUAGCUAGUUGGUAGGGUAAAAGCCUACCAAGGCGACGAUCCAUAGCUGGUCUGAGAGGAUGAUCAGCCACACUGGGACUGAGACACGGCCCAGACUCCUACGGGAGGGAGCAGUGGGGAAUAUAGGAAAAUGGGGGAAAGGAUGAUGGCGCAAGGCCGCGUGAGUGAUGAAGUCCUUAGGGUUGUAAAGCUCUUUUACCCGGGAUGAUAAUGACGGUACCGGGAGAAUAAGCACCGGCUAACUACGUG